rnacentral:lncRNA from 1 species
GCGCGUGAACGGACAGGUGCUGGUGCAACUGCUGUGGGCGCUGAAGGGAGCAGCAGGGCCCGAGCCCGAGGCGCUGGCGGUGAGUAGCUCCACCGGCACCAGCAGGAGGCCAGUCUGGCUGCCCUGGCUGUGAGUCAGCCCACAGGUUCCCACUUGAGUCACGGAUAUCUUGCAGAAUAUCACAUGGGUGUCCUAGGCUUUGUCCUCGUCCUGUCUGCGGAGCACCCUCCUCCCUGGUACCUGAUACGGUCCUGGGCACUGCUCAAGCCUGGGGGACCACUUGCUCCACAGGCCACGCGGGCUCUUGGGGAGAUGUUGGCAGUGUCCGGCUGUGUGGGAGCCACGCGAGGAUUUUACCCACACCUGCUGCUUGCGCUGGUCACACAGCUACAUGAACUGGCUCACGGGGCACGCUCUCCUGACAGCCCUAAGGUUUGGGCCCCGUCCCACCGAGGGCCUCCACACAGCCAUGCCAGGUGAGGAGAGACACUGAGGUAAGUAGGAUGCUCAGCACCUCCUUGGCCCUCACUGUCCACUGAACUGCUGCCCCUACCUCCAGCUGUGCGGUGGAGGCCUUGAAGGCCCUGCUCACCGGGGAUGGUGGUCGCAUGGUGGUCACCUGCAUGGAGCAAGCGGGAGGCUGGAGGAGACUGGUGGGAGCCCACACACACCUAGAGGGUGUCCUGCUGUUGGCCAGGUGAGGAGGGGCCUCAGGACUGCACACCAGGAGGAGGCUUCCUGUUGGCCAGGUUCAAGGCAGGGGUAUAAGGAGGGUGGGUGAGGCCCCAAGUGGAGGGAGACCUCCCAUUUACCCCACCCUCAGUGCCAUGGUGGCACACGCCGACCACCACCUUCGAGGCCUCUUCGCAGAUUUGCUUCCCCGGCUACGCAGUGCCAACGACCCGCAGCGCCUCACCGCUAUGGCCUUUUUCACAGGGGUGAGUCCUCUUCCAGAAGGGCGGUGAGGGAUGAUGGUUACGUGAACCCUAAGGAGCACCGGCCUGCACGGGGACUGAGAGCCUUGCUGACUGUGUGUCCCUUCCCCAGCUGUUGCAAAGCCGGCCCACCGCACGGCUACUGCGGGAGGACGUCGUCUUAGAGCGGCUUCGAACCUGGCGGGGCGACUCUGAGCCCACAGUGCGUUGGCUGGGCCUGCUAGGCCUCGGCCACCUUGCCCUGAAUCAAGGGAAGGUGAGGACAGGGUCAGGGCGGGGCCAGGACAGGUCUGCCAGGGGUUGGCCACUAGUCCCUGUGUCUGCAGGUGCGGCAUGUGGGCACGCUGCUGCCGGCACUCUUGGGCGCACUGGGCGAGGGCGACGCGCGGCUCGUGGGUGCAGCGCUGGGUGCACUGCGGAGGCUACUGAUGC